rnacentral:rRNA from 1 species
CAGCAGCCACGGUAAUACGGAGGGUGCGAGCGUUAAUCGGAAUUACUGGGCGUAAAGCGUACGCAGGCGGUUUGUUAAGUCAGAUGUGAAAUCCCCGAGCUUAACUCGGGAACUGCAUUUGAAACUGGCAGGCUAGAGUCUCGUAGAGGGGGGUAGAAUUCCAGGUGUAGCGGUGAAAUGCGUAGAGAUCUGGAGGAAUACCGGUGGCGAAGGCGGCCCCCUGGACGAAGACUGACGCUCAGGUACGAAAGCGUGGGGAGCAAACAGGAUUAGAUACCCGAGUAGUCCCUGUCUCUUAUAC